UACAGAGGUCUCAAGCGUUGUUCGGAUUCAUUGGGCGUAAAGGGUGCGUAGGCGGCGCGGUAAGUCGGGUGUGAAAUCUCGGAGCUUAACUCCGAAACUGCAUUCGAUACUGCCGUGCUUGAGGACUGGAGAGGAGACUGGAAUUUACGGUGUAGCGGUGAAAUGUGUAGAUAUCGUAAGGAAGACCAGUGGCGAAGGCGGGUCUCUGGACAGUUCCUGACGCUGAGGCACGAAGGUCAGGGGGAGCAAACGGG
rnacentral:rRNA from 1 species